GCUUCCUCUGGGGGAGGAGGUGGCGGCAUUCCUUGUGGUGGAGGUGGAGGGGGAACCAUUGGCAUGUUAGGCGGUGGCAUAGGCAAUGGAACAAAAGGUCGAGGAACUACCAAUGGUGUGAACUGGGAUCCAGGAGGUGGAGGUACAGGGAUAUUGGGAGGGUUCACCAUAAUUGAUUGAGAUAAUGGCUGCUGACCCAUCAUAACAUGCUGCGAUGACGAGGUCAUAGGCAUAGGUGAAGGUCCAGGCCUCAUGGAUGGAAUCAUUGGGAUGAUUCCAGGCCUUGGAGGUGCAACAAGACCCCCACCAGCAGCAGGAACAGAAUAUUGGACUUGGUUUGGGGGGAAUCGAGGAAUAUUUAACGCCAAUCCAGGUGGUGGAGGUAGUGGGCGGACAAAUGGUACCCCAGGUCUUGGUGCAGGUGCAGGACCUGGAAGUGUCCUCAAAUCAUUGUUAUUAGCGUCAGUUUGUUCCUCACCAGAAAAACCCUGUGAUAAGGCUUGGGUGGCAGUGCGUCCAAUACUGCCUGAG
rnacentral:lncRNA from 1 species